rnacentral:hammerhead_ribozyme from 1 species
AUCUAGCUGGUGAGUUCCGAAUAGGACGAAACACACGUCCUGGAU